rnacentral:rRNA from 1 species
CCUACGGGAGGCAGCAGUGGGGAAUUUUCCGCAAUGGGCGAAAGCCUGACGGAGCAAUACCGCGUGAGGGAGGAAGGCUCUUGGGUUGUAAACCUCUUUUCUCAGGGAAGAUAAUGACGGUACCUGAGGAAUAAGCAUCGGCUAACUCCGUGCCAGCAGCCGCGGUAAUACGGAGGAUGCAAGCGUUAUCCGGAAUGAUUGGGCGUAAAGCGUCCGCAGGUCGGUUUUGAAAGUCUGCUGUUAAAGCGUGCGGCUUAACCGCAUAAGGGCAGUGGAAACUAUGAGACUAGAGUGCGUUAGGGGCAGAGGGAAUUCCCAGUGUAGCGGUGAAAUGCGUAGAGAUUGGGAAGAACACCGGUGGCGAAGGCGCUCUGCUAUACCGUAACUGACACUGAGGGACGAAAGCUAGGGGAGCGAAUGGGAUUAGAUACCCCAGUAGUCCUAGCCGUAAACGAUGGAUACUAGGCGUUGUCUGUAUCGACCCGGACAGUGCCGUAGCUAACGCGUUAAGUAUCCCGCCUGGGGAGUACGCAGGCAACGUGUGAAACUCAAAUGAAUUGAACGGCUGAGAGUGCGAGACGACGACGAGGAGGAGG